ensembl:misc_RNA 7SK 7SK RNA
GGGUUGCCUUCUUCCUUCCUCUCAAAUCCACAUGCAUCCCUCCUCAGACUGUGCAGUCAGUUGAAGAAGACAGUCUUCUCUGAUUGAAGAGAGUUGUUCUUCAGUCAAAGGUACAUGUGUAGCUGUGCUUGCUUGCUAGAACCUCUAAUCAAGCGCUUAGAGCCCCUUUCACUCUUAUCUUUCAUCUGCUGACCAGAGGCAGAAGAUUCUGGAA